AACGAACGCUGGCGGCAGGCUUAACACAUGCAAGUCGAACGCCCCGCAAGGGGAGUGGCAGACGGGUGAGUAACGCGUGGGAAUCUACCUAGUUCUACGGAACAACAGAGGGAAACUUCUGCUAAUACCGUAUACGCCCUACGGGGGAAAGAUUUAUCGGAAUUAGAUGAGCCCGCGUUGGAUUAGCUAGUUGGUGAGGUAAUGGCUCACCAAGGCGACGAUCCAUAGCUGGUCUGAGAGGAUGAUCAGCCACACUGGGACUGAGACACGGCCCAGACUCCUACGGGAGGCAGCAGUGGGGAAUAUUGGACAAUGGGCGAAAGCCUGAUCCAGCCAUGCCGCGUGAGUGAUGAAGGCCUUAGGGUUGUAAAGCUCUUUCAGUAGGGAAGAUAAUGACGGUACCUACAGAAGAAGCCCCGGCUAACUUCGUGCCAGCAGCCGCGGUAAAAC
rnacentral:rRNA from 1 species